AGCAUCUGCAGGGCUCAGAGCAAAAUGAAAAUGUGGAUCCCCUUGUGCACAUAUUAUCAAGAAUUUCAAAAUGAUGACAGCAGAGCCUUAACCCACCACAAAGCCCUUCAAAGCGUGGGGCCCUGUGUGACUGCAGAGGUCAGAUGUCCAUGAAGCUGGGGCUGCUAAGGAACCUCAGGAUGUCUUGGGGACCUCAAGAAGAGAGGAAUUCACCCAAAUCUACAGAAGCCACAAAACUACAAAUAGUAAUAGAAAUGGAACCUGGAAUAGAAGUGCCCAUCUUCUGAGGCCCUCUCAACUGACCAGUGAUGGAGACCUAGCUGCACCCUUUACUGUGCCUCUUCUCAGCAUGAAGCAGCCAGAGCGGUCAUUGCCCCCUUUCCCUAGCAGCAGCUAGAGUCUCUAUCUGUAGAGGGGGAAUGAGACAGGGACGAUGGACUUAGACAGAGUAGGGUGAGGGCCUCUGGAAAAAGUAAGGCAAGAUAUUUACAGUCCAAACAAUGUCACAGUGUAAAGUCCGUAUCAAAACUCUGUGUUCAGCAUUAUGCAAAGUCAAGGUCACACUAAUUCUCUAGGGUAAAUAUACUAGACUAGGAAUAUUAGACAUCUUCAGUGAGAUCAGUUUAAGGUCAAAAGGCCAGAAGCAACUUGGCCUGGAAUGUUUUGAGUGUUCUGCAAGGGUAUCUUAUCAUAACCGGUGACUUCACUGUAAACAGCCGUAAGAAACAGACAACAACCCAGCCCACCUUGAGGGCAGGGCAGAUGGUACAAGUCCACACCCUAAGCCCUCAAUUCCCAAAAAUCCUCAACUGCAUAUAAAUGCCCUAGACAACGCACCACCCCGGGCUCUCUUGUCCCCUCCUGGAGUAAGCCAGAAGCUCUGUCUAUCUUCUCACUGUCUCUCUCAAUAAAAGUCUCCCUGGCUCUCCUAAAAAAAA